rfam:Theileria parva strain Muguga apicoplast, complete genome, whole genome shotgun sequence.
AUUUUUAUAGGUUUGAUCCUGGCUUAGAAUAAACGCUUUAAAUGAAUUUUUUAGUCAGCGUAAUUAAACUUUAAAUUAACAUUUUUCUUAAUGUAAUAUUAAAGUUAGUGUAGAGGUGAGUAAUAAAUAAGAUUAAUUUUUAUAAAUUUUAAGAAUAAAUUUUAAAGUUAGUUAAAUAAUUUUAAUUAUAAUUCUUAUUUUGUGCUUUAAGUACUUUAAAAAAUUUUGUUUAUAAUUUAAUUUUAUUUUUUGAUUAGCUAAUUAAUAUCGUAAUUUGAUAUUAAGGCGAAGAUCAAUAGCUAAUUUGAGAAAAUGAAAGUCACAUUAGAACUGAGACAAAUUCUAAACUUCUUUAAUGGGGUAAGCUGAUCGGGAAGUGAAAGCAAUUAGCGAAAGCUAAACUACGUUACAUUCAGUGAAGGUAGAAAUAAAGUGUAAACUUCUGUGUAUAAUUUAAAAAAUAAGUUAAUUGGAUUGUAAGAAAAUAUCGGCUAACUCUGUGCAAGCAUCCGCGGUUAGACAGAGGAUAUUAGUGUUAUUCACGAUUAUUGGGCGUAAAGCAUUUUUAGAUGGAUUUUUGUAUUAGUUGAACAAUUUAAAAAAGAAAUUUUUAAACAUUUAAUUAAAAUUAAAAAUCUAGAGAAUAGUAUAAGUUUAAGGAAUUUUUUGAGGAACAGUGAAAUGUUACGAUACAUUAAGGAAGACCGAGAAUGAAAAUAUUAAGCUAAACUAUUUCUGACAUUUAAAUAAUGAAAGCUAGAGGAGCAAAUGGGAUUUGGUACCCCAGUAGUUCUAGCUGUAAACUAUGAAUAUUAAGAGCAUUAAAUAUUUUAAAUUUAUUGCUUUAAAGCUAACGCGUUAAAUAUUUCGCCUGAAUAGUACGUUCGCAAGAAUAAAAUUUAAAGGAACUGACGGGAGCUUAUAUAAGUGAUGGGUCAUGUUGAAGAAUAGAUGAAACCCUAAGAAUCUUACCAAAGUUUAAAGUAGUUGAUUGAUUGUUUUUAUAUAAUAAUCUAAUCAAUUUAUAGGUGUUGCAUGGUUGUCGUAAGCUAGUGCUGUGAGGCCUCAAAUUAAUUUUUGUAACUAGCGCAACCCUUUUCAUUUAUUUUCAUAUUUUAUAUAAGUAAUUCUUAUAUUGUAUAUAGAUUAGGAAGAGGAGGACGACGUCAAAUCAUCAUAAUCUCGUUACUUUGGGCCGUUUAACGUGACACAAUGAUGAAUACAAUAUAGAUAUAAAUAAAUUUUUUAAUAAAUUUUAUUAUAUUUUUAAAAUUUAUCAAAGUGCUGAGUAUAAACUGUAAUUUGUUUAUACAAUAUUGUAGUAACCACUAGUAAUCGUUAGUCAGAUAUAUAACGGUGAAUUUUGAAAUAAGCUUUGUACACACAGCCCGUCAAGUUCUGAAAUUUGAUCAAUCAUAAACUAUUUAUGUGAUAGUAAAUAAUUGAUUAGAGAUCGGAACUAAGUCGUAACAAGGUAGCCGUACCUGAAGGUGCGGCUGGAUUUUAUGUGUA